UUCCUCAGUAGCUCAGUGGUAGAGCAGUCGGUUGUUAACCGAAAGCGCACGGGUUCAAAUCCUGUCUGAGGAGU
rnacentral:tRNA from 1 species